rnacentral:rRNA from 1 species
GACAGAGGUGCCGAGCGUUAGGCGGAAUCACUGGGCUUAAAGCGUGUGUAGGCGGAUGCCUAAGUACCUUGUGAAAUCCCAUGGCUCAACCAUGGAACUGCUUGGUAUACUGGGUGUCUUGAGCUAUCUAGAGGCAACUGGAACAAACGGUGGAGCGGUGAAAUGCGUAGAUAUCGUUUGGAACGCCAAUGGUGAAAACAGGUUGCUGGGGAUAUGCUGACGCUGAGACACGAAAGCCAGGGGAGCAAACGGG